CCCGCUGAACUUAAGCAUAUCAAUAAGCGGAGGAAAAGAAACUACCAAGGAUUCCCCUAGUAACUGCGAGUGAAGCGGGAAAAGCUCAAAUUUAAAAUCUGGCGGUCUCUGGCGGUCCGAGUUGUAAUCUAGAGAAGUAACGCCCGUGCUGGACCGUGUAUAACUCUCCUGGGAUGGGGGGUCAUAGAGGGUGAGAAUCCCGUCUUUGACACAGACUACCAGUGCAUUGUGGUAUGCUCUCAAAGAGUCGAGUUGUUUGGGAAUGCAGCUCAAAAUGGGUGGUAAAUUCCAUCUAAAGCUAAAUACUGGCGAGAGACCGAUAGCGAACAAGUGCCGUGAGGGAAAGAUGAAAAGAACUUUGGAAAGAGAGUUGAACAGUACGUGAAAUUGCUGAAAGGGAAACGCUUGAAGUCAGUCGCGUUGGCCGGGGAUCCGCCUUGCUUCUGCUUAAGGCACAUGUCUGCUCGCCGGCUGCAGCAUCGAACUUCGACCACUGCAAAAGGUUCAGGGGAGUGGAGCACCUUCCGCUGUGUGAUAGCCCUUGUUCAUAUACAGUGGCUGGGAUACAGGAGCUCACCUCACCGCGGGACCCGGUGUCGACCACGUUCCUGCUUAAGAUGCUGGGAUAAUGGUUAUCAGCGACCCGUCAUAAAACACGAAA
rnacentral:rRNA from 1 species